rnacentral:rRNA from 1 species
CGUGCCUAACACAUGCAAGUCGUACGAGAAAGUUGGCUUCGGCCGAUGAGUAAAGUGGCGCACGGGUGAGUAACGCGUGGAUAAUCUACCCUUUAGUCUGGAAUAACUUGCCGAAAGGUGAACUAAUACCGGAUAAUAUGCCGAUUUCCCCGGAGAUCGUCAUCAAAGAAGGCUUCUGUUUACAUGCUUUUGCUUAAGGAUGAGUCCGCGUACCAUUAGCUAGUUGGUAGGGUAAUGGCCUACCAAGGUUAUGAUGGUUAGCUGGUCUGAGAGGAUGAUCAGCCACACUGGAACUGAGACACGGUCCAGACUCCUACGGGAGGCAGCAGUGAGGAAUAUUGCGCAAUGGGGGAAACCCUGACGCAGCAACGCCGCGUGAGUGAGGAAGGUUUUCGGAUUGUAAAGCUCUGUCGAGCGGAAAGAAAUGCAUUAUGGCUAAUAUCCAUAAUGCUUGACGGUACCGCUAAAGGAAGCACCGGCUAACUCCGUGCCAGCAGCCGCGGUAAUACGGGGGGUGCAAGCGUUGUUCGGA